GACGAACGCUGGCGGCGUGCUUAACACAUGCAAGUCGAACGAAGUGGCGAACGGGUGAGUAAUACGUGAGUAACCUGCCCUCCUUUUUGGGAUAAGCCUUGGAAACGGGGUCUAAUACCGAAUAAAGGGGGAUGGGCUCGCGGCCUAUCGGCUUGGUGGUGGGGUGAUGGCCUACCAAGGCGGUGACGGGUAGCCGGCCUGAGAGGGUGACCGUGCAAAUUGGGACGGGGAGACGGCCCAGACUCCGACGGGAGGAGGCAGUGGGGGGUAAUGGACAAUAGGCGAACGCCUGAAGCAGCGACGCGGGGUGGGGGAUGAAGGCUUUCGGGUUGUAGACCUCUUUCGCGAUCGAGCGGGUAGGUGGAGAAGAAGCGCCGGCUAACUACGUGCCAGCAGCCGCGGUAAUUC
rnacentral:rRNA from 1 species